GAUGAACGCUGGCGGCGUGCCUAAUCCAUGCAAGUCGAGCGAACAGACGAGGAGCUUGCUCCUCUGACGUUAGCGGCGGACGGGUGAGUAACACGUGGAUAACCUACCUAUAAGACUGGGAUAACUUCGGGAAACCGGAGCUAAUACCGGAUAAUAUAUUGAACCGCAUGGUUCAAUAGUGAAAGACGGUUUUGCUGUCACUUAUAGAUGGAUCCGCGCCGCAUUAGCUAGUUGGUAAGGUAACGGCUUACCAAGGCAACGAUGCGUAGCCGACCUGAGAGGGUGAUCGGCCACACUGGAACUGAGACACGGUCCAGACUCCUACGGGAGGCAGCAGUAGGGAAUCUUCCGCAAUGGGCGAAAGCCUGACGGAGCAACGCCGCGUGAGUGAUGAAGGUCUUCGGAUCGUAAAACUCUGUUAUUAGGGAAGAACAAAUGUGUAAGUAACUAUGCACGUCUUGACGGUACCUAAUCAGAAAGCCACGGCUAACUACGUG
rnacentral:rRNA from 1 species